GUUGUUUUGAAGUUUUGAUCAAUACGAAUUCUAGCAAUUAUGGUUUGAGAUGUAUGAUGCCUAAGGAAGUUUAGGUGUGAAGUCUAAACUAUUCUAUUGCUGUUCACUUUGUCUUUGCCUAAAUUUAGUCUUGCAAACAGUCCCCAAACCCUGAUUGUACUAAUUUGCUUCCCAAAAUUAUACCCUUCUAAACCAUUUGCGAAGUAAAAUUAGUACAAGAAGCAGGUUUUUGGGGCUUGUUUGCAGUACUGGAUUAGGCAAAGUAAAUAAUAGAAUCGUUUAGGCAUCACACCUAGUGUUGAAUUGCAUCAUUCAAAAUAACAUUGCAAACAUAGGUAUUUAUAGACUCAAAAAGCAAUCCUAAACCUUCAAGGAUUUGGACUCUAAAAACUAAUCCUAAACCUUGAAGGAUUUG
rnacentral:misc_RNA from 1 species